UAAUUGAAGAGUUUGAUCAUGGCUCAGAUUGAACGCUGGCGGCAGGCCUAACACAUGCAAGUCGAGCGGUAACAGGAGAAAGCUUGCUUUCUUGCU
rnacentral:rRNA from 1 species